GUCGACCUCAAAUCAGGAGAGAUUACCCGCCGAACUUAAGCAUAUCAGUAAGCGGAGGAAAAGAAACUAACGAGGAUUCCCCGAGUAGCGGCGAGCGAAACGGGAAGAGCCCAUCGCUGAAUCCUGCGAUCGUGGCGGAUCGCCGGGAAAUGUAGCGUCUGGGAGGAGAGUUAAAUUUAAACGCGCGGUCAUUAGUCACGGUUGCCAGUCCAAGUUCAUCUUGAACGGGGCCCCGCAUACCCACAGAGGGUGCCAGGCCCGUGGGACGGUAGCCGGCCGCGACGGUCUCUCUCCCGAGAGUCGGGUUGCUUGAGAGUGCAGCCCUAAGCGGGUGGUAAACUCCAUCUAAGGCUAAAUACCACCACGAGACCGAUAGCGAACAAGUACCGUGAGGGAAAGUUGAAAAGAACUUUGAAGAGAGAGUUAAAUAGUACGUGAAACCGUUCAGGGGUAAACCUGUGAAACUCGAACGAUCGAACGGGGAGAUUCAUCGCUCGACAGAGAUCCGCGCUGCGGUCUCGCACCGCCGAAACGCAGCGGUUCCUCUCGGGGGGCCGUCGGUCGUGUCGGUGGGCGGACUGUGGCGUCUGUCAGGUCUCUGUCGACGCGUGCACUUCUCCCUUAGUAAUGCAACAUCGCGACCCGCUGUCUCGCGAUCGACUGCGCCGAACGGUAGUCCCGUCUCGUAUAUUCGAGGCGGUACCGCGGCGUUUUAACGAUCGCCGGACGACGGUAAAGAACGAGGUGUCGUUCCGCCCCUAGGGGCGGUCCCUCCCGGUCGGCGUCCGUCGGCCGUUCGUCCCCCGGCUCCUUGUGGGUCUUGUGGGUUUUGGCGGACGGCAGAAUGUCACGGCGGCGCAGAGGCCGAGACGGGAACAGGAACGAGUCCCGGUCGGCGAUGGUUUUGUUUCGGGCACUCACAGACCCGUCUUGAAACACGGACCAAGGAGUCUAGCAUGUGCGCGAGUCAUUGGGACAUUUUAUCGACUAAACCCAGAGGCGAAAUGAAAGUGAAAGUCGCGCUUGCGCGGCGCAGGGAAGAUGCGUGCGACGCAUUCGUGUCUCGCACGUCGCAUUCCCGAGGCGUUUCGAGAAAGUCACCGUGCGAUUAUCGAAACGCACUGAGAGCGUACACGCUGGGACCCGAAAGAUGGUGAACUAUGCCUGGUCAGGUCGAAGUCAGGGGAAACCCUGAUGGAGGACCGAAGCGAUUCUGACGUGCAAAUCGAUCGUCUGAACUGGGUAUAGGGGCGAAAGACUAAUCGAACUAUCUAAUAGCUGGUUCCAUCCGAAGUUUCCCUCAGGAUAGCUGGCGCUCAUGAAGAGUGUUUCUCUCGGGAGACACGUUUUACAGUCUCAUCCGGUAAAGCGAAUGAUUANGAGGCAUUGGGGCCGAAACGGCCUCAACCUAUUCUCAAACUUUAAAUGGGUGAGAUCUCAGUCUUGCUUCGGUGAAGUCUGAGCUCGGAUGAGAGUGCCAAGUGGGCCAAUUUUGGUAAGCAGAACUGGCGCUGUGGGAUGAACCAAACGUCGAGUUAAGGCGCUCAACGGACGCUCAUCGGACACCAUAAAAGGCGUUGGUCGCUCAGGACAGCAGGACGGUGGCCAUGGAAGUCGGAAUCCGCUAAGGAGUGUGUAACAACUCACCUGCCGAAGCAACCAGCCCUGAAAAUGGAUAGCGCUUUAGCGUCCGGCCUAUACUCGACCGUCGUAGGUAGAAAGGGUGCGRCCUCGUGUCGCACUUUAUUAAAUCACGACGAGUAGGAUGGUCGCGGCGGUGCGCGCAGAAGGGUCUGGGCGUGAGCCCGCCUGGAGCCGCCGUCGGCGCAGAUCUUGGUGGUAGUAGCAAAUACUCAAGCGAGGUCCUUGAGGGCUGAUGUGGAGAAGGGUUUCGCGUUAACAGCCGUUGCACGCGAGUUAGUCGAUCCUAAGCCCUAGGAGAAAUCCGAUGUUGAUGAUGGUGUAAAGUUUAUWAUGUGWUAACUCAAUAUAUUCAAACAACACCCUUCGGGCGAAAGGGAAUCCGGUUGCAGUUCCGGAACCCGGCAGCGGAACCGUUUUAAAAUCGUUCCCUCGCAAGAGAGUUCGUCGGGGCAACCCAAAAAAUGGCCUGAAGACGCCGACGGGAGAUUCGGAGAGAGUUAUCUUUUCUGCUUGAGCGGCACGUCGCGCCAUGGAAUCCUAUAGAGGGGAGAUAUGGCUGACGUCGCGAAGAGCAUCGCCGAUGCGGCGGUGUCCGGAUCGUCCCCUCGGACCUUGAAAAUUCAGGUGAGGGACACGUGCAGAUGUCGCGCCGGUUCGUACCCAUAUCCGCAGCAGGUCUCCAAGGUGAAUAGCCUCUAGCCGAUAGUAUAAUGUAGGUAAGGGAAGUCGGCAAGUUGGAUCCGUAACUUCGGGAUAAGGAUUGGCUCUGAGGGCCCGUGGCGUGGNNNNNNNNNNNNNNNNNNNNNNNNNNNNNNNNNNNNNNNNNNNNNNNNNNNNNNNNNNNNNNNNNNNNNNN
rnacentral:rRNA from 1 species